rnacentral:rRNA from 1 species
UACGUAGGGGCCUAGCGUUGUCCGGAAUUAUUGGGCGUAAAGAGCUCGUAGGCGGUUCGGCAAGUCGGAUGUGAAAUCUCCACGCUUAACGUGGAGGGGCCAUUCGAAACUGCUGUGACUCGAGUCCGGUAGGGGAGUGUGGAAUUCCCGGUGUAGCGGUGAAAUGCGCAGAUAUCGGGAGGAACACCGAUGGCGAAGGCAGUGUUCUGGGCCAGUACUGACGCUGAGGAGCGAAAGCGUGGGGAGCGAACAGG